UACGGGGGGGGCAAGCGUUGUUCGGAAUUACUGGGCGUAAAGGGCGCGUAGGCGGCCAACUAAGUCGGAUGUGAAAUCCCCAGGCUCAACUUGGGAACUGCAUCCGAUACUGGUCGGCUUGAAUCCGGGAGAGGGAUGCAGAAUUCCAGGUGUAGCGGUGAAAUGCGUAGAUAUCUGGAGGAAUACCGGUGGCGAAGGCGGCAUCCUGGACCGGCAUUGACGCUGAUGUGCGAAAGCGUGGGGAGCAAACAGG
rnacentral:rRNA from 1 species